AGAUUGAACGCUGGCGGCAGGCCUAACACAUGCAAGUCGAGCGGCAGCACGGGUACUUGUACCUGGUGGCGAGCGGCGGACGGGUGAGUAAUGCCUAGGAAUCUGCCUGGUAGUGGGGGAUAACGCUCGGAAACGGACGCUAAUACCGCAUACGUCCUACGGGAGAAAGCAGGGGACCUUCGGGCCUUGCGCUAUCAGAUGAGCCUAGGCCGGAUUAGCUAGUUGGUGAGGUAAUGGCUCACCAAGGCGACGAUCCGUAACUGGUCUGAGAGGAUGAUCAGUCACACUGGAACUGAGACACGGUCCAGACUCCUACGGGAGGCAGCAGUGGGGAAUAUUGGACAAUGGGCGAAAGCCUGAUCCAGCCAUGCCGCGUGUGUGAAGAAGGUCUUCGGAUUGUAAAGCACUUUAAGUUGGAGGAAGGCAGUUACCUAAUACGUAUCUGUUUGACGUUACCGACAGAAUAAGCACGCUAACUCU
rnacentral:rRNA from 1 species